AUAAUGGGUCAGCGACUUAUAUUCUGUAGCAAGGUUAACCGAAUAGGGGAGCCGGAGGGAAACCGAGUCUUAAUUGGGCGUUAAGUUGCAGGGUAUAGACCCGAAACCCGGUGAUCUAGCCAUGGGCAGGUUGAAGGUUGGGUAACACUAACUGGAGGACCGAACCGACUAAUGUUGAAAAAUUAGCGGAUGACCUGUGGCUGGGGGUGAAAGGCCAAUCAAACCGGGAGAUAGCUGGUUCUCCCCGAAAGCUAUUUAGGUAGCGCCUCGUGAAUUCAUCUCCGGGGGUAGAGCACUGUUUCGGCUAGGGGGCCAUCCCGGCUUACCAACCCGAUGCAAACUGCGAAUACCGGAGAAUGUUAUCACGGGAGACACACGGCGGGUGCUAACGUCCGUCGUGAAGAGGGAAACAACCCAGACCGCCAGCUAAGGUCCCAAAGUCAUGGUUAAGUGGGAAACGAUGUGGGAAGGCCCAGACAGCCAGGAUGUUGGCUUAGAAGCAGCCAUCAUUUAAAGAAAGCGUAAUAGCUCACUGGUCGAGUCGGCCUGCGCGGAAGAUGUAACGGGGCUAAACCAUGCACCGAAGCUGCGGCAGCGAACGUAUCACCCAAGACAACUUUGCGGAGUUGACGAUUGACGGAGCGAAGCGACGUCAAAGCGUUCAUUAAAGUCGAGUUGGCUUAGGGAUACGUUCGUUGGGUAGGGGAGCGUUCUGUAAGCCUGUGAAGGU
rnacentral:rRNA from 1 species